rnacentral:misc_RNA from 1 species
UAUCCGUAGGUGAACCUGCGGAAGGAUCAUUACAGAGUUCAUGCCCGAAAGGGUAGACCUCCCACCCUUGUGUAUUAUUACUUUGUUGCUUUGGCGAGCGCAAGCUCGCCAGAUAAUACCAAAACUCUUUUUAUUAAUGUCGUCUGAGUACUAUAUAAUAGUUAAAACUUUCAACAACGGAUCUCUUGGUUCUG